rnacentral:lncRNA from 1 species
GCAUGUCUUGGCUGUGUCUAGCUCUGCGUUGGAGGAGGAUUUGGGUGGCACCAUUCUUCCAUGUUCCACAGGCAGCAAAUGCAGGCAGUUGAUAUGUCCCUGUGGAAAGACACACAUAUUUUUGACAAUAAUAAUGAUGAAUCAGUGCAGUUUCGAAGGAGAAAAUAGAAUCUCCAAAAAAAGGAAGCUGCAUGGUUUCUGAGGCACUCUGGGAGAGCAAAUGUCAACACUGUGUGGAAGAUUUAUGCCCAUUUAAAAACAAGAUUGAGGUGCUGUUAAUUAGCAGUGGGCUUUCUUCAUAUUUGUACUUAUUCCACCACUGCCUACUGCACAGCCUGGCCUGAAGCAACAGGAUGAUCACUUAUCUGAUAUAGAUAACUUGAUAAAGUGCACUGGUGGUCUUAUGUGAAGCAUGUUCUACAUUUCACAAUAUAUGAAGCUGAUUCAGCUAUGAAUAAUUUCUUCUGUUUUAACGGGUAAAUAUGUAUUUAACAGAUCUAACACAUUUAUCUAAUGAAUAAAUAUAUGUUUAACAAAUUCA